CAACCACGACUUAUUAUCGGGGCUCAUUUCUAUAGCUUUCUGCUAGAGGAAUGUGUUUCUAAAGUGUUUGGUCUGGCUGACCGAGAUGAGUCCGUGUAUUCCUUUCUGAGUCGAGAAGCUGACAGAGAGUACUGAUUCACUUCACAGCUGCGCCUCUGUCAUUGAUGUUGUAGUCUUUGCUUCUUUAUGGAGUAUUGAGAAGGGAAGUAAUGAUCAGAGUUGU